UUGCCAGACUCCUACGGGAGGCAGCAGUGAGGAAUAUUGGUCAAUGGGCUUACGCCUGAACCAGCCAAGUCGCGUGAGGGAAGACUGCCCUAUGGGUUGUAAACCUCUUUUGUCGGGGAGCAAAGAGAGUCACGUGUGACUCAUUGAGAGUACCCGAAGAAAAAGCAUCGGCUAACUCCGUGCCAGCAGCCGCGGUAAUACGGAGGAUGCGAGCGUUAUCCGGAUUUAUUGGGUUUAAAGGGUGCGUAGGCGGAAUAUCAAGUCAGCGGUAAAAAUUCGGGGCUCAACCCCGUCGUGCCGUUGAAACUGAUGUUCUUGAGUGGGCGAGAAGUAUGCGGAAUGCGUGGUGUAGCGGUGAAAUGCAUAGAUAUCACGCAGAACUCCGAUUGCGAAGGCAGCAUACCGGCGCCCAACUGACGCUGAAGCACGAAAGCGUGGGUAUCGAACAGGAUUAGAUACCCCGGUAGAA
rnacentral:rRNA from 1 species